AGAAGGUUGGCAGAUUAAGUGCGUUGAAUUUAGAAUUCAACUAUGAGGUUAGAUGGUUAUUCGCCUCACCUUCUA
rnacentral:tRNA from 1 species